rnacentral:lncRNA from 1 species
GGAGACAAGGUCUCACUAUGUUGUCCAGGCUGGUCUUGAACUCCUGGGCUCAAGACGAUCCUCCUACUUCAGCCUCCCAAAGUGUUGGGAUUACAGGCAUGAGCCACUACACGUGGCGUUUUGAAUCCUCUUCUGUACAAAGAUACAAUCUGAGUCCUUAGGACAUUUAUAGCCUAAUAUUUUCUUCCAUCAAAGUUGCUAAACCCCAUCACCAGAAUACCACAAUUAAUAUUCUCAGGAUAGAUUAUUAAUAGUUGCCUAGGAAUAAGAAUGGUAUGUGGCAAUGAUAGAAAUUUGAAAUGGCAGAUUUAUUAAGUAUUUUUAAGCCAUCAAGUUACAAAAGGCUAUUAGGGGUCUUAAAAAGACAAAGAGUAUACAAUAAAACAAUAAGCAAUUACAGAUUGUUUUAGGUUGAACAAUUUUUGUACAGUUAUAUCUAUAGUACAUUACUAAUUUACUUAGCAAACUUUAUCCUGAGAUUUGCAAAUUUAAAAAAAUGAAGAAUCAAACUAUAUUUUCUUUUCUGUUUUUUUGAAACAGAGUCUCCACUCUGUCAUCCAGGCUGGAGUACAGUGGUGUGAUCUCAGCUCAACAUAGCCUCAACCUCUUGGGUUCAAGGAAUCUCGUGCCUCAGCCUCCCAAGUAGCUGGGAUUACAGGCAUGCACCACCGUGCUCGGCUAAUUUUUUGUAUUUUUAUAGAGACGGGGUUUCA